rnacentral:rRNA from 1 species
UACGGAGGGUGCAAGCGUUGUUCGGAAUUACUGGGCGUAAAGGGCGCGUAGGUGGUUGUGUAAGUCGGAUGUGAAAUCCCCAGGCUUAACUUGGGAACUGCAUCCGAAACUGCAUGACUCGAGUGCAGCAGAGGGAAACGGAAUUCCUGGUGUAGAGGUGAAAUUCGUAGAUAUCAGGAGGAACACCGGUGGCGAAGGCGGUUUCCUGGGCUGACACUGACACUGAGGCGCGAAAGCGUGGGUAGCAAACAGG